rnacentral:rRNA from 1 species
UACAGAGGUGGCAAGCGUUGUUCGGAAUUACUGGGCGUAAAGGGCGCGUAGGCGGCCUUCUAAGUCGAACGUGAAAUCCCCGGGCUCAACCCGGGAACUGCGUCCGAGACUGGAAGGCUUGAAUCCGGGAGAGGGAUGUGGAAUUCCAGGUGUAGCGGUGAAAUGCGUAGAUAUCUGGAGGAACAUCGGUGGCGAAGGCGGCAUCCUGGACCGGUAUUGACGCUGAGGCGCGAAAGCCAGGGGAGCAAACGGG